AACGAACGCUGGCGGCGUGGAUAAGACAUGCAAGUCGAACGCUGAUUUCAGGGUAGCAAUAUUCUGGAGUCGGAGUGGCGCAAGGGUGCGUAACACGUGGGUAAUUUGCCGUGAAGCCUGGGAUAACUUGCUGAAAGGCGAGCUAAUACCGGAUGUGAUUAUCGGGAGGCAUCUCCUGAACCUUAAAGUUGGGGACCGUAAGGCCUGACACUUCACGAUAAGCCCGCGGCCUAUCAGCUAGUUGGUGAGGUAACGGCUCACCAAGGCUAAGGACGGGUAGCUGGUCUGAGAGGACGACCAGCCACACUGGAACUGAGACACGGUCCAGACACCUACGGGUGGCAGCAGUCGAG
rnacentral:rRNA from 1 species